rnacentral:rRNA from 1 species
CCUACGGGUGGCAGCAGUGAGGAAUAUUGGUCAAUGGGCGCGAGCCUGAACCAGCCAAGUAGCGUGAAGGAUGACUGCCCUACGGGUUGUAAACUUCUUUUAUAAAGGAAUAAAGUUAGGCACGUGUGCCUUUUUGUAUGUACUUUAUGAAUAAGGCUCGGCUAACUCCGUGCCAGCAGCCGCGGUAAUACGGAGGAUCCGAGAGUUAUACGGAUUUAUUGGGUUUAAAGGGAGCGUAGAUGGGUGGUUAAGUCAGUUGUUAAAGUUUGCGGCUCAACCGUAAAAUUGUAAGUGAUAAUGGCAGUCUUGAGUGGAAGAGAAGUAUGCGGAAGGAGUGGUGUAGCGGUGAAAUGCAUAGAUAUCACGCAGAACCCCGAUUGCGAAGGCAGCAUGCCGGCUUCCGACUGACGCUGAAGCACGAAAGCGUGGGGAUCGAACAGGAUUAGAUACCCGGGUAGUC